rnacentral:rRNA from 1 species
UAGCGUAUGAGAGCCGUAGGCCUCUUUCACGUGCAAAUCAAUCGUCAGACUUGAGUAUAGGGGCGAAAGACUAAUCGAACCAUCUAGUAGCUGGUUCCCCUCGCAGUUUCCCCCAGGAAAGCUGGUGUCAUAUGUGACAAUUUUAUCUGGUAAAGCGAAUGAUUAGAGGCAUUGGGGACAAACUGUCUUCGACCUAUUCUCAAACUUUAAAUGGGUAAUGAGCCGAAACACUUCGUGAUUGACCUGCUAUUGGUAAAAUGCAAUGAUACCAAGUGGGCCACUUUUGGUAAGCAGAACUGGCGCUGUGGGAUGAACCAAACGUUGAGACUAGGGUGCCCAAAGUGCUUCUCAUGAGAUACCAUGAAAGGUGUCAGUCGAUAUUGGACAGCAGGACGGUGGCCACAGAAGUCGGAAUCCGCUAAGGAGUGUGUAGUAACUCACCUGCCGAAUCGACUGGCCCUGAAAAUGGAUGGCGCUGGAGACGUAUACCCAUGCUCGACCGUCAAUGCCAAACGUGCCAUACAUCGAAUUUCUGGCUUGACGUGUAGAGGGGCGACUGCGACGGCGUCGAAAUCUGCAGCGAGAGCAGGCAUAAAACCGUUGCAGUGUGCAGAUCUUGGGGGUAGCAGCAAGUAUUCAAAUGAGAGCAUUGCAUGACUGAAGUGGAGAAAGGUUCCAUGUGAACAUCAUUUGGACAUGGAUCAGCCGAUCCUAAGAGAACGUACUAAGUUCAUGAUGAAGCGCGUCGCUUUUGUGCGAUGACAAACAAAAGGGAAUCGGGUCUAAUAUUACCGAGCCAGGACUACGGAAAAUCGUCUGAUGCCCCAACAGAUGCAUCGGUCGCUGUUGGAAUCAGGCGAGAGCGGUAACGCUAACAAACCCAGAGAAUAACUAUGCGAUGUCCGGGGAAGAGUUUUCUAUCCUUCGUUAGCAAUCUUAUCCCUGGAAGUCAGAUGGUCUGCCGAUAGCGUACGCAAUCCGUAAUGCAACGCAGAUUCCUGCGAAUGUACCGUGCGCCAUUGCAUACGUGCCUGAGAAAUCUCGGGGCGGAGUUCAAUCUUGUUCGUACCGUGAUGCGAACUCGAGUUACGCAGCUAGGUCUCCAAGUGUGAGACAGCAUCUAGUCUCAUAAGGGACAAAGUAGACAAGGGAGAGUCGGCAAAGUCGAUCCGUAACGUCGGAAAAAGAAUUGGCUCUAGAAGCUGAGCUCAUACGGGCUGUUGCAAGAAAUGGCGAGCCUGCUGAAGCGC